AAGUUUAAGUUAAUUAUAAACGAUAAAUGUUUUUUGUUUAAAGGUUAAUUUAUAAUUAUUAUUUAUAAUAAAAUAUUUGAAACAACGCGUAUGCGUCGUCGAGUGAACGGAGGUGGUAGCGUCCGCGCGCCGUAACGAGAGGACACGAACUAAACUGAACUCUCGGGAAGAGAAAUACCGAAGCGAGUGUGGAGUGGGAGAGGGGGUGAGCUGGUAGUAGUGAGGGUGAUGGUGAUGGUGCUGAUGGGUGAGACGGUGCCGGUGAUUGUGCUGGUGGUGUGUAGCUGAGUCGCGUGAUGUAAGUGAGGACGGCGAUGGUGUUGGUGUUGGUGUUGGUGUUGCUGGAGAUAGUGGUAGUAUGUAGUAGUUUUAGUUGCCCGACUGGUUUUCAUCGUACCGCUAUUCGGCUGUUUUACAGAGUAGAGGACACUAGCGCCACCAACCUCUACCGAGGACAGACAUAAAGUGCAGUCUGGUACUGGUACUGGGAUCUGGUAGGGCAUCCAACGCUUACAUCAGUUCCAAUGCCGUUCUUGCUGAUCUUGGGCACUUGGAUCUUUGCUGAUGAAACUCCAGAGCUACAAGAGCUAAAGAGACUCAGUACUUAGUGUAGAACAAUGACUUGUGUAGCUGAGGAAUCCACAGGGUCAUUGAUUUUUUAGAAACCGAGGGUAAUCUGCUCAUGCGCACGGGAAAUAAAUUGACAUCAGCGUCCUUCGAUAUAUAGAGAAUACAGAGAAUCAUCGUCCCAUUAAUCGACCUCGGUGAUGGCGCUCUGCUGGCCAAUCCUGUUUGUUUUAUUGCUGAUGGGGAUGUACACACUGCACACAUUCUGUAUAUGUAUAUAUAUAUAUAUACAUAUAUAAGAGAGAGGAGUAAAGAGGAGAAUGAACACUAUACGCGGCAACUGAGGGAACGAUAAAAAAAUUGCGAGAAUGCCUAUAGAGGAGAGUAGAUCGAGGGAAGUAAAUCAACGCGGUGUUGUAAAUAUAUAUAUAUGUAUAUUAUAUCUAUAUCUAUAUCUAUGUAUAUGUAUAUGGCGAAAUCGUUUUCACGCUUGUGAAAUAGACGAACGGAUAAAAUCCAGCAAUUACCCUGUGUAACGAACUACGCGGACCUAUUGCAACCUGUGAUCCAAUCAUCGAGACUAUGAGCCAUGAGCCUAGUACUGCUACUAGCACUAGUCUAGUAGUCUUUCAAUCUACUAUAGAUAUAGACACACCAUCUAUAUUUUAGUGUCUACCUUUAAUAGCUGUGGGCAUAUUGAUAUACUUUUGUGUUAAAGAAAACAAUUAUAUUUAUAUUGGAA